rnacentral:misc_RNA from 1 species
GAAAAAUGAUCACUUGUAUAGAAACUUAAAUAAACCAAGCACCAAUUGUAUCCCAAAACAAAUAUCCCACAUAUAAGUUAAAUAAACCAGGAUUAAGGCAGAUGGCCUCACACCAGCCAAACCUUUUUAUUUUUCUUCUCCACUCUCAAAGAAAAUAAAUAAAAACUCAGGAGUGAUAUGAUUUGCAAACCUUACAUUUUUUUUUGUUUUUGUUUUUCUUUCUCCACUGACACACACAUAAACAAGUAGAGAUCCAGUAAAACAAACCCUAAUCGAUAAUCAUCCAACCUUAUUAGGAGCACGAGGAAAUCAGAACAAUCCAUCCCAUGAUCAUAAUAUAUCAAUCAAGGGGUAUAAAUAUAUCACAUCAACAUCUUCAACCGAAGAAAUGGUGCUUCUUCCCUCCCUCGCUCUCCUUCUCCUCCUUCUUGAACUCCUUCUUCUCGUGUUUCUCAUGGAAAGCAUAACCUCCGGCCCCGACGGCCGCGGUCGCCAAGAUCUCCUCCUCUAUCUUGUGCUUGUGAGCGUGCUCCGGGUCCUUCUUCGCCUCAUGCCUCUCAUACAGGGCGAAACCACCAGCAGCAGCGGCACCAAGCUCACCGAGGUGCUCCUUGCGCUUGGCGUGCUUCUCCUGCUUCUCGUAGUCGGGCUUCUCCUCCUCGACAUAGCCGGAGUUGUAGACGGUGUUGUCAUUGCCGGUACCAGUGUUGUAGCCGGUGUUGUAUCCUUCGGUGGUGCCUGUGUUGUAACCGGUGUUGGUGCCGGUGUUAUAGCCGGUGUCGUAGCUGCCGGUGUUACCGGUGUCGUAGCCGCCGGUGUUGGUGCCGGUGUUGUAGCCGUCGGUGUUACCGGUGUCGUAGCCGGUGUUAGUGCCAGUGUUGUAGCCGUCGCCGGUGUUAUAACCGGUGUUGCCAGUGUUGUAGCCGUCGGUGUUGCCGUAAGGGGCCUCCUCACCGGUGUUCUCCUCGUCCUUGUGGCGGUGGAAGAGGUGGUGCUUGUGGUGCUCCUCGGCCAUUGAUAAUGUGUGAGCUAACUGGAAAGGGACGGUGGGAUAAAUCCGAGAGG